CCGGUUGUGUAGAUUUAAGAUGGCAGGCUAACCAAAUGAUCGGAAGUACCAACUACAUCCAUGUUGGUGGAAAUGGGCGACAGAACAGACACAUUUAGCUAAUGUCAAAGAAAAAGAUAUUGAAAAAACAACAAUAAGACUUCAUGGUAGUGCGGACAACCUGGAAAAAGAAGACACCGAGCGAGGCGGUGGCUCUGAAGCUGACAUAACGGUUUAGCUGCUUACCUAAUGCUUCUGUAAGGACAUAGAACACACACCUGUUCCCAGCCCUCUUCACUUACCUCACUCUUUGGCAUCCUAGGCUCCUUCGCUCAGUAAGGCCUGGUCACUCACUGGUAAGCCUCAAGUCUGAGGACUUCUUGCGCGCUCCCUUGUCCUUGUCUGGGUUUGGAGAUUGCUCCUUGGUCUUCAAGGAGCCAUGAUCCUCAGAGUUGGUCCGGAGACGGCUGGGUCGCUGAACAGAGUCUGACACAGACCCAACCCUCACUGAAAACAAGAGAGAGAGAAGAUGAAGUUGACAAUAAAACCACUUACCUGUUGCAUUGCUGUCAGGUCUGUCGGGGCUGGAAGACUGGAUGAGACACAAGGACAAAAUAAUCAGUAUCACUAUAUACACGAGCGCAGAGCGGUGAUAAAAUAUUUUUUUCUUUUAACGGUUUUGUGACAUGAAUCCUAGUAUGUACAAAUAGCCCUUGUACAAACAUUGUACAAAAUGUCAAGACGCAUCAUUUUGAGUCUGGCAUAUUUUACACAUUGCAGUCAAUUAUAUAUACAGUAUAUUUCUAGUUUCAAGCUUUUAUUGUAACAAUGAUUGGAGGCAGUGCAGUGCUGUGGUACUGAAUGUACAUGUAACACUGCAGAGCAACAUUCAAACAGAAGGGGGCGCCUUUGUGUUAGAAAAUGCUCAGGAUCCAGCUCACACACCCCAGCUUUGUAUUAAAUAAUCUCCUGAAUAGCUCCCUUCGUUUAACCUGCAUACACACACACACACACACACACACACACACACACCUGGAAGCCAGCCAGAACAAGCAGAUGGCAGGAGAAGCUUUAGUGCCACUGGUACAAGGUCAGAAAACCCCCUAAUGCUGCAGACACCAUAAACCUAUUAGUGUGCACACACACACACACACAUGCACUCUGAAAUAUGUGUUAGUGUUAGCACCUGUAAUUGUGUUCACUUGACGUGUAAUAGGUCCCUAACUAGUUACUGCACUGCAAAGACUUACAUCGCUGUUGCCCUUAUUAAACUCUAGGGAUACUGUAUUUGUUAUCUCACUAAUUCUGUCCCCCUUGAAUCACACUAGUAUAUUUAUUUAAAAUAAAUAUAAAACAUAUUUUUUAUGCUUUUGAGGAAAUGAAAAUGUGGUUGUAGAAAAGAGAGCAUUUGUAGUUUAAGGCACCUUGGUGCAUGUGGGAAUUUUAAAUAGGUGAGAUAUUCCCAUGACAUUUAUGUCCUGCCGUGAGUCAUGACAGAGGAUUUGCAUAUCAGCCGUCUUUCUUGUCUUCAUUCUGUCCGUUGGCUGUUCAUGCCUCCAUCUCUUUCACUCUGCACUUCCCUCCCUCCCGCCUCCUCCUCUUCCUCCUCUCACCUUGUCGUCUGGCAGAAAAUCAGGGUUGUUUGUAUUUUUGUGUCAACAUGUUGACAGGCGCAAUGACUAGCCUCAAGAUAAACACAAGUCUCAGCAUCUGCGUAUGUGUGUGUAUGUGUGUGUGUGCAGAUGCUUCUUAUUUUGUGUGUUCUCCCAGCUGUCCACAGUUAGUGCCUGUUGAACAGAACGGCCUUGACAAGUGGAGACUGAACACCUACAGCGCUUUGUCCCCAGAACGAAAUCUAAUGUGGUCCUUAUUUAAAGAAGCAUCUCUCUGUAUCUCACUCCUGUACCACUAUCAUAAAACCAUAAACCUUAUUUUUGUAGUUUGUCUGAAAUGCCUAAAAAUAGACUAUUUCAGUUUUUGUCAUGGAAAAAUGUUUACGCUCUGCUUUUCGUAAUUAUUAUUAAAUCAACAAAUGA